rnacentral:tRNA from 1 species
UGGGGUGUAACUCAGUGGUAGAGUACUUUGGCUUGCAUGCAUGAGACCCUGGGUUUCAUCCUCAGCACCACAA